rnacentral:rRNA from 1 species
GAUGAACGCUGGCGGCGUGCCUAAUACAUGCAAGUCGAGCGAACGGACGAGAAGCUUGCUUCUCUGAUGUUAGCGGCGGACGGGUGAGUAACACGUGGAUAACCUACCUAUAAGACUGGGAUAACUUCGGGAAACCGGAGCUAAUACCGGAUAAUAUUUUGAACCGCAUGGUUCAAAAGUGAAAGACGGUCUUGCUGUCACGUAUAGAUGGAUCCGCGCUGCAUUAGCUAGUUGGUAAGGUAACGGCUUACCAAGGCAACGAUGCAUAAGCGACCUGAGAGGGUGAUCGGCCACCCUGGAACUGAGACACGGUCCAGACUCCUACGGGAGGCAGCAGUAGGGAAUCUUCCGCAAUGGGCGAAAGCCUGACGGAGCAACGCCGCGUGAGUGAUGAAGGUCUUCGGAUCGUAAAACUCUGUUAUUAGGGAAGAACAUAUGUGUAAGUAACUGUGCACAUCUUGACGGUACCUAAUCAGAAAGCCACGGCUAACUACGUG